UACGUAGGGUGCAAGCGUUAAUCGGAAUUACUGGGCGUAAAGCGUGCGCAGGCGGUUAUGUAAGACAGGUGUGAAAUCCCCGGGCUUAACCUGGGAACUGCAUUUGUGACUGCAUAGCUAGAGUACGGUAGAGGGGGGAUGGAAUUCCGCGUGUAGCAGUGAAAUGCGUAGAUAUGCGGAGGAACACCGAUGGCGAAGGCAAUCCCCUGGACCUGUACUGACGCUCAUGCACGAAA
rnacentral:rRNA from 1 species